UGGCGUAUCUGGGAGAUUAUUCUUCUAACAUUUGCGUGGGUAGCAGGAAGAAGCAAAAACCUAAGCAGAUACGACAUGUGCUCUGCGUCAGAUUGUUCUAAUAGAAAUGAAUAAAGCCGGGCUAUGGAGGGAAUAUCAGUUUGCCGUUUGUCAACAAAGAAGAGCCAGUGUGCCGUUCACACAACACAUACAUGAUCUGGCGACGCAAAAGCAAAAGAGCACGGCGUCUAACCAUACAAAAAGACUUCUGUGGUAUUUAGCUAUUUAUAAUACAAGAAUGCACAAGCUCAUAUAAGAAACUAGCAAUUGCAAGCUGCUGGUUAAGCCAAGUCCUGUGAUUACAUUCAGACUUUGCAAGUCUUGGCAAGUGGUUCACAGUCUUUAUAGAUCUCCAAACCAGACUGAUCAAGUUGGUCUUCCUCAAAGCAAGCGCAACGUUUGCUCAUCGAACCAGUUAUUGCUAUCUCCAAUGGUCUUUGUACCAAUCUUGGCACCCCAACAUCACACCAAACCUGCACAAAUAGCUUAUCCUUUAGCAUAAUUUUGUUUUUUUUUUCAUGCCACCUUGAUAGAAGAUAAUGUUUUGCUUGAUAAUCAAAAAGUCUCAAUUAUACAAAAUAUAAACUACUAAACAUUAAUAUGCAGAUUUAAGUUAAUAAAACAAAAAAAACAAAAUCUAAAAUCUAACCCUAUGAAAUCAACCACUAAAAGACAUAACAUGUUAGAACCUUUUGUUUCUAAACUAUGAAUAUUGUCUACCACAUGAUAACCAAAUUAGUAUAUAUUCUUGAAAAUUGUUCAAUUAUAUGAAAUUUUAAUCUAUUUAGUUCAUAUUAUCCAUUAUAUUGAUGAUUAGUUAAAAAUAUCACUAUAAUUAAUUUUUAUACAUUUUCAAAAUUAAAUUUUAGAUCAAAUUAGAGUGUAGACUACAAACUAAGUCUGUAAGGUAGACUUUUUAGAAAGUCUAAACAUUUGUAGACUUCGUUUUUUACGUGUAGACUUCCAAAUGAUAGAAACGUAAAAUACAUUUAUGUUUUUUUUGUUUUGUCAUAAGGGUUAAAUAGUAUUUUCACUAGCUCUUUAGGUUGGUUUUGCAUUUAACUGAAAGUGGGGUACACUUUUAAGUUUGACUUGAAUAUUUGGGUUGAUUUUAAUAAAUGUCCCAAUUUUUAAAACUACAGUCAUUAACAAUCAGAACCUUAAUGAUCCGACCCUUAGUGAGAAACAUUCCCGAACAAUUAAAUAACUACAGAAUAAUUGGUUAUACCUUUUUUUUCUUGCAAAAUCAGGACUCUCUUCAGCCGUAACAGAAUAAAGACUUUUCUAACCAAAAUUUUGAUCAAUCUCUACUUGAAAUUGAUCUUUAGAAACAAAAUGAUCAUUUUCUAUCGAGAUUAUGAACAAGGUAGAUCUACUAAAGAUAUAAAACAUAAGCAGAUCAUUCAAAGGAAAUGAGGAGGUAAAUCAAACUGCAUAAGAUAAUCAUAACACAGAAAAUCGAGAAUCGAAAUUCCAACAAAAAGUAUUUCACAAGAUAAAAGAGGAUCCACGUCGUCCAACACAUGAACCCUAGAAACUAAAGUAAAGCUGUAAAACUCCAUACGAAAUGUCAUCGGAACCUGAGCUUGGUAAAGAACCACCUGUUCUUGCCAGUCUUAAAACAUUCCUCAAGCUUCGCCUUAGCCUCCUUGAGAGCAGCGACCUUCUCGUCCUUUUAAGAAAGAGCAGGGUAGCGACUUCCUUGAGAUCCACGUCGAGGGUGUAACGGGUAGGCAUCAAAUGCUGGUAGUUAACGACCUUGAUGAAACACUUAACCCGAGAUUUCUUCGCCGUCUUCUUGGCCGAGUCCUUGCGGAUGACCUUGCUCGGGUACUUCUUGAGUCCGGCCACGAGGCAGUGUCCGUAAGGACGCUCACGGUUUCCGUCGUCGAAGGAACGGAUGAUCACGGCUUUCUUUCCGGCGUAUCAGCCUUGAAGAAGGAUCACUGCCUUGUUUUGCUUCAAGAACUUCACCAUUGUUUCUUCUCUUUAUCGCCGCUAAGUGGCGAAUUCAGUGAGAAUUCUUGGUUUAAUAGUGAAGGUUGAGAGAACUAAAAGUAACCUAGCCUAGUACUAACGCCUCAUAUUGGGCCGUUAAAUUAAACCAAUUUAAGGUGGGAUGGCCCGUUGGAGUAUCUACGAUAUCUUCUUUCAUGUAUUGUCCUUCUCUUGUGUACCGAAAGCGGCGUUCAAGAAAUCGCUAAGCGGACGGUAGUCCUCCGGCGCCUAGAACGCCUAGGCGAUUUUAGGCGGUCUAGACGCAUUCUUAACAAACUAUAUUUUAUAUAUAUAUGUUUAGUUAUUUAUAGUAAUAAGCAAAGGAGUUUGUCCAUAAAAAAUAAAAGUUAAGAAAAACUCAAACUUACGUAGUAUAGCGUGCAAACAUAAGCUAUAAGUAGGAAAAGAAGUUUGUCCUAUAAUUCUAACAGUGAUUUUAAUCAUGUUGUUCAGUGUAUCUCCUCUAAAAUUUACUCAUCAUCUAAGUCAAAUUCCAUGUCAAUUUUUUCCUCAUCAUCAGACUCAAAAUCAGACUCAUCAAACUCUCUCAUCAAAUCAUCUCUAGAUGAGGUACCUAGAGUUUCACAAGUAUCUCCAAGUUCCACAUCAGUUUCUUCAACAAUCCAAUCUUGAGCAUGAGUAGCAGAAUCUGCAAGUAGUGUCCACGUUCUUCUCUUUUUGCUUAUUUCGUUUAGCCAUUAAACUCGUGUUGAAUUGAACAUAGACAAAAUUGUUCAAUUGUUUUGCAUCAAGUCUAUUCCUUUUUUUGGGUAUGUACCUACAUAAAACUGAAUAAAUAAGACACACAAACAUUUGUAUGCUCAUGAAAUAUACAAUUCGUUUAGUUUGAAAUACUUAUCCCUUCGAGAGUACUCCAGUUACGCUUACAUCCCGAAGAGCUAAUCAUCAGAGACAAAAUCUUCCUUAAUUUUUGUAACUUAGAACUUCAACUACAUAAAAGUUCCACCAUUGAACUAGAAAGAAUGAUUAGCAAAAUCAUACAUAGAAAAUAUUCAAAAUACACAAAUUCUCAGGAAACAAACCUAGAUCAUAAUUUUCAUCAUUUUUUGAACAUCCUUUAAUGGCUGGCUGUUGGAUGCCCAAAAUUUCUCUCUUUUUUGCAUACAUUGCAAGUUCAGUGUUGAUGAAAAAUGUUCGAGCAUCGAGAUCAUUCGGAUAAAAAGCAUCAACACACUUGAAAGUAGCAGUAAUGACAUCCUGGUCGAACUGAAUACUCAUAUCCUUAUAAAAAUAAUAAGGAUUCAAGAGAUAUGCCAUCCAACGAAGAGGACUAUCAAGAAGACCAUAACUCUUCUCAUCAACAAUAUUGAGGAUUGAUUUGUAUUUUUUUCCAGAUUGUUGAGUGCUUUGCAUAUUUCUUUCUUCGCUUCUUCUUAUAACUCUCAUUGCAAAACCCCAUUGUAGGCUUCUGAUCUCCAUCAACUAAUCUUAGUACUCUAACCAAGGGUGAAAACACUUUCAGACACAUUCCUACACCAUCCCAAUACUCCAUAUACCAAGUUGUAUGAUAGGCUGCAAGUCCUUUAUGAUGCUUUGUCCAUUUACAUUCUGCCCAUUCAUUGCUAGCAAACAUCAUCUUUAAGUUUUCUUUCUUAUCCAUUAAAGGAAAGCAGAUGCAAAUCUAGUUACUCCAGGUCUUACUAUGUCUCUUUUCUUUGUAAACUUCGUCAUAAUAGUGCCUUGAACUUUUGUUGUAAUUGGUUAAGAAAUUCCCAUAAACGAACUCAAUGACAAUGCCAUCAAUGUGGACUCCGAAAUUUCUGUAUCUUCUUCAAUCUCAAUCAAAGAUUGAUCCACUAUCUCCAUUUCAAUCCCAUUAACAACCGUCAGCACUUGUAAGUAUCUGUUUGGACACCAAUGUUGCCUAGACCAUUUAUCAUCACUAGUAAAACAUUGUCCCAACCUCUUCUUCUCUACUAUUUGACUAUCUGAUAACCAAAGUUGUGGUCGUUGCACUCUAUUACCACCACCUUUAUCUUGAGUACCAGUUUUCUUAGCUUGUUGUUUUGAUUGCCAAUCAGAUGACGUACAGGACUGUGCGACAGGUUUGAAUUUUUUUUGCCCCAUGCCUACCCUUCCUUCUUGAUUUAUCUCCCGACAAACCAUCUUAUAGAACGCAUUGUCUUCCAUCUGAUACACAGUAGCAAUCAUCUCAGGAAGGUCUACCUGUUUACUCAUGUUCACCACUUCUCUCAUCUCCGGAGUCAGUCCAUUCAUGAAUAUACCUUCCAAUUGCCUAUCAGUCAAACCACUGACAUGAGUCGAUAGAUCCUCAAACAUAUGGAUGUAUUGAGAAAUCUUUCCCGUUUGUUUUACAGCAAAAAACGGUUGACUCGGACCUCUUAAUUUUUCUCUGCUAAAUCUUGCUAACAACCUUUCCUUGACUUUGUUCCAACUCACAAAAUUGCUCGUGUGUGUGUUUCGUUGUUGAACCAGCUCAAAACAUCACCUGCAAGACUCACAGAAACAGUCUCCAGUUUCUCUCCGCUCAUCAUAACCUUCGCUUAGAAAAUAUUUCUCCGCUAAGACGAACCAACCAUAUGCAUCAUCCCCAGCAAAAGAUGGAAGUUCAACAUGCUUCACUAAUCCAUCUCAAUUAUCGAUAUGGUUUCAGACUUGGCUCCGUAACCUCCACACUUUUCGAAUCCUUCUUCACAAUCAGCUCGCAUAAAUUCUGAAAGUUCGAAUCCAUCCUUGAUUGCAAUUCUUCGUAACGAUUUUGUUAUUUUCUCUCCAGAACCUCGAUUUUCGACAUCGACUUCGUGUCCAAAGCUCGAAUCAAUGCUCGUCUCGUGUUGAGCUGCCGUGUGAUCCCUCAAUGUUUUCGGAAAAGUAUCCAACAUCACCGGCUCAUCCUCCGCCUGAACCUUUUGCGAUUUCUUCAUGGUUUUGUCGUCUUCGUAAUCGCGAUUGUUCGAUCCAGAACGCUCAAGGCUGCACCAAUUUGAUAGAUAAUAGUAGUAUUAUCUAUCUUUGUAACAAACGAUAAGGUCCAAACAACCCUUUACCAUAUCUUUACUAAUUCUCCAAUUAACACUUGGCCUUCUUAGAUACUAAGGCGCAGUAACAAUAUCUUCUAAACAACUUCUAACUGUCACUCUCAGCAUCCUUGUGCUCCACGUCAAUAUGCUCACUUCCAUCCUUCUUCUUUCUCUUUCUCGAAUACACACACAAUGGCAUAUCAAUGUUCUUGCGGAUGGGAUCAGCAUUCAUGUACAUGAAUGAACAGCUAUACAUCUAAUACCAUUCCCUAGUUUUCUCCAGACUGUUAAAGCUCCUUGACAGAGUAUCUAUAAAAAGAAAACAAACUGAUGCUAGAUAAUGACAAACAUUAACAUUCUUAAAAAACUGUAACUGAAACCAACUUACAUUCUGAAAUCGAAGGCUUGAUCUCAAAGCAUGUAGAACAGAACCUUCUGCAUUAUGUGCAGCUGUUUUUCCUUUUUUUUUAUAUUUCGAGAACCACAAUGCUGUGACAUUCCCAGUGAAAUUUUACCGCUGGCGUAUCUGGGAGAUUAUUCUUCUAACAUUUGCGUGGGUAGCAGGAAGAAGCAAAAACCUAAGCAGAUACGACAUGUGCUCUGCGUCAGAUUGUUCUAAUAGAAAUGAAUAAAGCCGGGCUAUGGAGGGAAUAUCAGUUUGCCGUUUGUCAACAAAGAAGAGCCAGUGUGCCGUUCACACAACACAUACAUGAUCUGGCGACGCAAAAGCAAAAGAGCACGGCGUCUAACCAUACAAAAAGACUUCUGUGGUAUUUAGCUAUUUAUAAUACAAGAAUGCACAAGCUCAUAUAAGAAACUAGCAAUUGCAAGCUGCU
rnacentral:lncRNA from 1 species